rnacentral:sRNA from 1 species
CAUGCCCCUUAUACGCUGGGCUACACACGUGCUACAAUGGGUAGAACAGAGAGUUGCAAAGCCGUGAGGUGGAGCUAAUCUCAGAAAACUAUUCUUAGUUCGGAUUGUACUCUGCAACUCGAGUACAUGAAGUUGGAAUCGCUAGUAAUCGCGAAUCAGCAAUGUCGCGGUGAAUACGUUCUCGGGUCUUGUACACACCGCCCGUCACACCACGAGAGUUGGUUGCACCUGAAGUAGCAGGCCUAACCGUAAGGAGGGAUGCUCCGAGGGUGUGAUUAGCGAUUGGGGUGAAGUCGUAACAAGGUAUCCGUACGGGAACGUGCGGAUGGAUCACCUCCUUUCUAAGGAGACAAUGUCUUUCUCUAUUCUAUUGGUAAUGUUCUUACAUUACUUCUGAACAUUGGAAACUAUAUAGUAGAACAAAAAUAACUCUAAACAAUUUCUUAGAGUUAGCUGUCAAAAAAUAGAUUAAAAUAAUUAAGGGCACACAAAGGAUGCCUAGGUAGUAAGAGCCGAUGAAGGACGUGGUAAGCUGCGAUAAGCCUAG